CUCUUUUUUUCAUUUCGCCUUUUCUCUUACUCAUCAAUAAACUUACACUACCUAGUCAACCUUAUCGUCCGAAGGCCCAUAGUAAAGGUAGGUAAGGGUACCUAGUCAACCUUAUCAUCUGAAGGCCCACAUAUCCAAUUUGCCCUCCAAAUGAUGGAAUGGGAAAGAAGGCGUUCUGUUUUCCAACCUGAUAAACUUAACUUUUGAAGGAAAUCUUUGUAAUGUUUAUCCAUCCAUGAUUGGCUCUCCAAAUGCACAGAUGUAUUUUCUUCCAUAAGUUUUGCCAUAACCAGUGCAUGAAUAAACGAUUGCAAGACAUCUGAAGAUGUUGAAUUUUUGUGCAUCAAAAUGCUGAUGCUUGUCUUCCUCUCCACUAGCAAGUACUUUGCUUUCCGAUGAGAUCCUGCAGAACGUAACAGCUCCGUCAUUUCCUGGUGAUCAAGUGAAGAAACUCUCACACCCAAGUGUACUUGCUUAUGCAACAAUUUAACAUUCUUUGAGCUCCAAAACGUGGUCCAUUUGGGUAAAAUAUGUUCCAUCCUAGAGACCUGUUCAGGGGAGAGAGCUUGGCCUGUCUCCAUGAAAUGCUGCAAAAGAAUUGAGCUCCUUUGCAUAUUUAAAGAUGUCAGUACAAGGCACCGAACAGCCCUGUAGUUUGCAUACAUAUGGAACAAGGUGAGAGAAAGAAACGAAAACCAGAUAGCUAAGGGGUGUCCAAUUGUUAUGCGAGCAAGGAGCAUCCCCAAUGCCAUGCCAGUCAUUGUUGCCAGUGUUUCUUGACUUCCUUCCUUGGCAGAUAUAUCUGCUGCAUUAUUCUCAAGAGCAAAAUGCUGUGUCAACGCAGCUCUAGUUGCACCACUGGCAACACCAGUGAAUGAUCUUGAUAGGCUCCCUAAGCAAACCACCAAUACAAAUGCUGAAGGAAACAAAGGAGAUACGAGGUCCAUCAACAUUCCAAGAUCAUUCAUAAGAUCUGCAACCAAACGCCACAUUUUGGCAUUGC
rnacentral:misc_RNA from 1 species